rnacentral:rRNA from 1 species
UACGGAGGGUGCGAGCGUCGUCCGGAAUCAUUGGGCGUAAAGCGCGCGUAGGCGGCCCGGUAAGUCCGUUGUGAAAGUCAAAGGCUCAACCUUUGAAAGCCGAUGGAUACUGCCGGGCUGGAGUCCGGAAGAGGCGAGUGGAAUUCCUGGUGUAGCGGUGGAAUGCGCAGAUAUCAGGAGGAACACCAAUAGCGAAGGCAGCUCGCUGGGACGGUACUGACGCUGAGGCGCGAAAGCGUGGGGAGCAAACAGG